AAAGGGCAGGAGCACGGAGCCAGAGAGCGCACUGAGCUCUCAGCUGAUGUAGAGGGGAAUACAGGCUGCUGUCAGGAGGGGGAGGAGGAGGAGGAGGAGGAGGGACAGUCCGAUCCUCCCAGGCCGAGCCGAGCGACCCGGACGCCUCGUCGGACGUCUGCUCUCAGUUGCACCUGCCAGCUCCUGCACGCAGUUUGGAAAGAGGAGGCCCAAGGAGCGCACACGGAGGAGGAACACGUUCCAGCGCCCAGGAUCAGCAUGGACGGAUUCACCGGAGAUGACUCGGAUAAUGACAUCAGGCAUCAGUACAGCAGGAACAGGAAGUCCUGUGUGAACGCUUCAUCUCUGUGUCACUUCCUGAGAGGAAAUAGAACCAGAAGCUGGAGAAAAAGGCGGUGGCAACAAGUCUCACCUCCACUGUGUGUGUGUGUGUGUGUGUGUGUGUGUGUGUGUGUGUGUGUGUGUGUGUGUGUGUGUGUGUGUGUGUGUGUGUGUGUGUGUA
rnacentral:lncRNA from 1 species